GCCCUUGGGGCCACACCACAGACAGGGUGACUAAGCGCCCCUUCCCUGCUGUUCCUGACUGGUGGAGAGAGUGGAAGGCAAGCGGUGAUAAGCCCUCAGGGCCCCACCUACCAGGCCCUGCAAGGAACUGAUAGGCCAUGCCCAAGGCUGCCCAACAGCAGGCAUCUUAGCCUGAGGGUCGAGGAGUCAGCCCUCCACCUGGGCUGCAGGCUGCUGGUCGGCCCGAGGGGACCUGGGCUCCCGCUACCCUUGCUGGAGAGGAAGCAGCCGGAGCCCCAGCAGCUGGCCUGUCUCACCUUGCACCUCUUGACUCUGCUGCCGCCUCGUCCCCCCCGGGGAAAAGGCCUGCCCCUCUGGCUCUGGGGCACAGUUGAUAUGAGCCUGACCCCAGAACGAGCCAGCCCCCGCCCCCCUGGCAGCAGGGCCUAAGUGGAGUCGUGGUAACAGGUGGACCUUGGGCAGUGCCCCGCCCCACACACUAAAUUUAACCAGCAGCUGACCCCAGCCUUCCCUCGGCGCUGCCGACACCCCUCCAACCAGAUGCUCGGGUGGGCAGGCCCCGUGCACACUGGGCCAACCGGGUCCCAGGCAGGUAGGCAGUGGCCCAGGCCCAUGCCACCCAGCAACUGCCGUGAACAGAUGAGCUGGCAGCGCCCUCAGCCCUACCACGUGAGGACCCUGAGGGGCCCCUCCCUGUCACCCUGACCCACCAUGCCCAACCAGCUCAGAGCCUCCUAACUGGCCAACUGCUGGCCCCCUUUGCCAACCCAGGCGGAAGCUGGCAGCCAGGCCCCAGGAUCAGGGCUGCAUGCCAGGAACAGGCGGCCCGCCCCCAUCGCCACCCCCACGGAGGUUCUGAGGCUUCGGGCCAGUGUGUCCUCCUGGCUCUGGCCCAACAGCCUUGUGGAAAACACUCCCCCUUUCCCAGCCAGGAUCCCUGCCCCCCAAGGAGUGUCCUUGCAAACUCCCUGCUGUCCUCAGGAAAACACAGAGUCACAGAGGGGCAGCCAAGAGGCUGGGGGGGCCACAAUCCCACACAGGGGCUGGGCUGCCAUGAGCGAGCCCCGGCCUGCACCUCCGGGCUUCAGGCAGGUGCUCGCAAGGACAGACACCCCAGGACCGGCAACAUGACAGCUCCCCACCGCGGGGAUGGUGGCCCGGCCGACAGACAACAAGGCAGGUGGCAGAACAGCCCUUUAUCAACAGUCAGCAUGAACUGGUCUCGCAGCCAAGCCGCUCAGGAGAUGCCAUCCACCUCGUCAUUUUAUAGAAGAGAUUCUGAUGCCUACAUUCUACAGAAAACAACCUAAAACAGCAACCAGCUUUUCAAACUGAGUACAUGCUACCCUUGGCUUACGCACCCUGAAGGCCAUCUGUGAAAGUCCACCACACAGCAGGACCCAGAGCCUCAACACGCCUCUCCACCGGCCCUGCCCUCUGGCUGCAGCGGGAAGAGAGGGACCCCAGUGCCCUGGGCAGUGCACAGAGAAGAAGCCAGUGUCCUGGCCUGGGCUGUGGCAGCUCACGAGGGUCCUCAGCCCCCGGCUCUAGUGGGUCCGCCUUCCGGAGGCCCCGGCUGCCUCGGGGCAGUCUCCGUCACCGCGGGCAGCCCUGACUGCCUCUUCUGUACCCAAGCUGAUCCUGAGGGGGCCCAGGGAGGCCCAGAGACCUGCUGCAGGGGGCACCGCCAUCUGGCAGAGCCUCCGUUGAGGGGGCGCUACAGUGUCUUGUGCCCGGCUCCUCCCAGGCUGAGCCUUGAACUUCCAAGCCCCCAGCCCCCUGGAUCUUCCUGUUGCCCCCCAGAGCCUCACUCAGUCACCUCCUCCCAGCCACUCAGCCCAGGAACAGUCCACCAGAGCUAGAAGACUUGCCCUUUGGCUGAGCCAGGAAGGACAAGGCGUUCAGUGGAGUCUGUCCGAAUGGCCACCACACCACACCCAGAACAAGGCGGGCUGAGCAGGGCAGCUCUGCCUUGGUGCACGAAUCUGCCCCAAGCCUCCCUGGAAUAUCAAACAGAUAACCUGGCAGUUUUUCCCAGGUCUUGGCUCCGUGCCCAAGCAAGCUGCAUGGAGUGUGGAACUGAGGUCAGGACAGACCCCAGGAAGGACCGCAGCAACUAUGCAGUACUGGACACCUGGCCCUGGGGACAGGAACCCAUGCCCAGAUCCCAUCCAGGCCCGGACAGAGCCAUGCUGGCCUGAGGGUCUCAGCAGCCUUCCAUAAUGCCUGCCACAGCUCUCCGCCAGUAGGUCCCAUCAUUACCCCCAUUUUCCAUAUGGGGAAGCUGAGGCCAUACCUGGACCUGGGUCCUGUGACCCACUUCACAACACUACCUCUCAUGUCCACCUCAGCAUCUGUGUGAGAAUCAGAGAUGGUGUGGCAGAAGCCCAGAGCCUGCGAGGAGCGCCGGGAGCAUAUUGGGACAUCUGAAUGGAAAGGGUGAAGCAAAACAACUUCUACAAAGAUGACACCAAAAGCACAGUCCAUAAACGACAAAUUAGAACUAAUUGAAAUUAAGAGUUUUUCUCUGCUAAAGACCCUGUGAAGAAAGCAAAAAGACUGUAUGUAGUACAUAUUUGUAAACUAGAGCCCCAACCAAAACUUCUGCCCAGCAAACAUAGAGAACCCUCAAAACUCAGGGUUUAGAAGAAAAUAAUCUAAUUAGAAAAUGGACAAAAGACAUGAAUAGACAUUUCACUGAAGAGGAUGUACAGCUGGCAAAAAAGCCCAUGAAAAGAUGCUCAACAGUGUUAGCCAUUAGGAAAAUGCAAACUAUUCCACAGUGAGAGACCACUGCACACCCAUCAGAAUGGCAAGGACCUGAAGAAAAUAGGUCUCACACACAGAUGGCAGGAAAGUACAUGGUACAGCCAGUCUGGAAAACAGUUUGGCAGUUUCUUUAAAAAGCUGACACAUGUUUACAAUACGAUGCAGCAGCUGCAUUCUUGGACAUUCAUCCCAGAGAAAUGAAAGUUCAAGUUCACAUAAAAACCUACACAUGAAUUUCACAGCAAUUUUAUUCAUAAUAGCCCCAAACUGGAAACAGCCCAAAUGUCAUUCAAUGGGUGAAUGGUUAACUAAACUCUGGUACACUCACACAAUGGAACACUCCUUGGCAAAAAAAAAAAAGGAAACAAUUAUGGACACGUGCACCCUGGGUGGCUCUCAUCUCUAACAGUCACACAUGGUGUGACUCCAUUUAGACAACAUUCUUGAAACGGUAACAGUUUAGGCAUGGGGGGCAGGGCCCUUCUAAGACCCUGCUGCCCCGAGGAGGUGGCCAUUCCUUGCCAUGGAGCUGUUCUACACCCUGACUGCAGUGGUCACACAAAUCUGUAUGUGUGAUAAGACCACUUGUGCACACACACUCACGUGCAUGGAAAACUGAAAUCUGAAAAGGUCAGUGGAGUGUGUCAAUGUCAAUGUCCCAGAAGAGAUUCUGUACUACAGUUAUAGACCUCCAGGGGGCUGGGGCAUUUUGCAAGGGGUCUCUCUAAAUGAUUUCUUAUAACUGUUAUGUGAAUCUACAAUGAUCUCAAAGUUUAAAAAUCCAAAGAGUGAAAAGGCAAGCCAUAGAGUGGGAAAUGGUACUGGCAAUACACAGCAAUUGACAUGAAAAGAACUACUCAACAGCACAAGGAAAUGGGUCAAAGAAUAGCCACUUCACAUCAAUAAACACACAGGAAGGCACUCCACGUCCUCUGUCACCAGGGAAACACAUGAAACUCUACACACACUAGUGCAGUCCCAAUGUGACAGAGGCCAGGUGACGGGGAAGGUGUAGAGCCACAGGGACCACCUCGUACUGCCAUGGGGCUGUCCGCAGACCCCAUGUCCUCCACUGUUCAUCCCACUUCAGGUGCUGCCCCCACAGGAAUGUGUUGAGAUCCUUAACUGAACCUGUUCCAGGGGACACUGCUAUGGAGGGCAUUCUCAGAACAACUGGCCAACUGGGUCCUGGGCUGUGUACCCAAGUGGUGAUGUCAGGCUCCUUGAGGCUCUGCUCUGUGCUCAUGACGCAGGCACUAAUGGAGACCCACCAGGAUCACUCGGGAGUAGAACAGGUCAGCUGUCACAUGACCAUUGCCUGGCACAGCGUCAGAACGUUGUUUCAGAGACGAGCCCUAUCAGGCUGGUGGGAUGACUAUUCUGCUUAUAGAAGAGGGCAGAGGGAGAGGGGUGCCCACCCAGCUCCUCAGGGCCACAUCUCUCUGUCCUUUCUCUUCUUUUUUUUUGUAUAUAUAAGGUGAAGGAUGUAUUAACUAACUUUACUAUGAUAAACAUUUCAUAAUAUAUACAUGUGUCAUAACAUUUACACCUUAAACUUAUACAAUGUUAUUUGUCUUUUUAAUCUCAAGAAAGCUGGAAAAAAGUUCUAAAUUUUGAUUAAGUCCAAGGUAUCAUUUUUUUUCCUGUUAUGAUUAGUAUUUUUGUGUCCUUACUGCGAAAUAUAUUAUCUAUUCCAAGGACACAAAGAUAUUCUUUUAUAAUUUUUCUAUUCCAUAUGGUUUUAGCUUUUAUAUUUAGGGCUGUGAUUCAAAUCAAAUUAUUUUUU